GACGAACGCUGGCGGCGUGCCUAACACAUGCAAGUCGAACGGAAAGGCCCUGCUUCUGUGGGGUGCUCGAGUGGCGAACGGACGAGUAACAAGUGAGUAACCUGCUCUUGACUUUGGGAUAACUUCAGGAGACUGGGGUUACUACCGGAUAGGAGCUCCUGCUGCAUGGAGGGGGUUGGCAUGUUUCGGCGGUUGGGGAUGGGCUCGCGGCUUAUCAGCUUGUUGGUGGGGUAGUGGCGUACCAAGGCUCUGACGGGUCGGCGGCCUGGGAGGGUGACCGGCGACAUGGGGCCUACGAGACGGCCCAGACUCCUACGGGGGGCAGCAGGGGGGAAUAUUGCACAAUGGGCGGGAGCCUGAGGCAGCAACGCCGCGUGCGGGAUGACGGCCUUCGGGUGGGAAACCGCGUUCGCCUGUGACGAAGCGUGAGUGACGGUAAUGGGUAAAGAAGCACCGGCUAACUACGUG
rnacentral:rRNA from 1 species